UGCUUUCUGUGGUGUACCUGUGUCCU
rnacentral:piRNA from 1 species